AUUGAACGCUGGCGGCAGGCUUCACACAUGCAAGUCGAGCGCGCGGCGGACGGGUGAGUAAUGUCUGGGCAACUGCCUGAUGGAGGGGGAUAACUACUGGAAACGGUAGCUAAUACCCCAUACCAUCAGUUGUGCCCCGCUGGGAUUAGCUAGUCGGUGGGGUAAUGGCUCACCUAGGCGACGAUCCCUCGCUGGUAUGAGAGGAUGACCAGCCACACGGGAACGGGGACACGGUCCAGACGCCUACGGGAGGCAGCAGUGGGGAAUAUUGCACAAUGGGGGCAAGCCUGAUGCAGCCAUGCCGCGUGUGUGAAGAAGGCCUUCGGGUUGUAAAGCACUUUCAGCGAGGAGGCGUUACUCGCAGAAGAAGCACCGGCUAACUCCGUGCCAGCCGCCGCGGUAAUAC
rnacentral:rRNA from 1 species